AUGGCCUGUGUGCUCUCUCUACUGAUGGCCCUGGUGCUGGUCAGCUACGGCCCGGGAGGAUCCCUGGGCUGUGACCUGUCUCAGAACCACGUGCUGGUUGGCAGGCAGAACCUUAGGCUCCUGGGCCAAAUGAGGAGACUCUCCCCUCGCUUCUGUCUGCAGGACAGAAAAGACUUCGCUUUCCCCCAGGAGAUGGUGGAGGGCGGCCAGCUCCACGAGGCCCAGGCCAUCUCUGUGCUCCACGAGAUACUCCAGCAGACCUUCAACCUCUUCCACACAGAGCGCUCCUCUGCUGCCUGGGACACCACCCUCCUGGAGCAGCUCCACACUGGACUCCAUCAGCAGCUGGACGACCUGGACGCCUGCCUGGGGCAGGUGAUGGGAGAGGAAGACUCUGCCCUGGGAAGGACGGGCCCCACACUGGCCGUGAAGAGGUAUUUCCAGGGCAUCCAUGUCUACCUGAAAGAGAAGGAAUACAGCGACUGCGCCUGGGAAAUCGUCAUAAUGGAAAUCAUGAGAUCCUUGUCUUCAUCAACCAACUUGCAAGAAAGGUUAAGAUGAUGGAUGGAGACCUGAACUCACCUUGA
rnacentral:lncRNA from 1 species